UUUCUCUGAAAAAAUGAAUAAAUAUUUAUUUUUAAAAAAGGAAGAGAGAGAGAGCAAACCUAAGUUUGAGAACUGGGGUAUGGAUGGGAGACUUCAAACUAGCAAGGCCAAGAAAGGGCCGGUACUUGUUUGCUGUGAAAUCAGCACAAAUCCUCACACAGAACCAAGACUGAAGGGGGAAACGUUAACAGCCAUGUGCUCAACAUGUUUUUCCCUUUGGGAAGAAAGAGCCCAAAAUGCCGGAGGAGUGAUUGGCAGCAUCAGAUCAUGGAGACAACAUGACUAUUCUACUUCAUUUUUUAGGCUCUUAACCAAGAAUUUUGCCCAUUAAAAUGAAGUGCUCAUGCAA